rnacentral:rRNA from 1 species
GAUGAACGCUGGCGGCGUGCUUAACACAUGCAAGUCGAACGGUGAAGGCGGAGCUUGCUCUGCUGGAUCAGUGGCGAACGGGUGAGUAACUCGUGAGCAAUCUGCCCCUGACUCUGGGAUAAGCGCUGGAAACGGCGUCUAAUACUGGAUACGAGCUGCGAAGGCAUCUUCAGCAGCUGGAAAGAAUUUCGGUCAGGGAUGAGCUCGCGGCCUAUCAGCUUGUUGGUGAGGUAAUGGCUCACCAAGGCGUCGACGGGUAGCCGGCCUGAGAGGGUGACCGGCCACACUGGGACUGAGACACGGCCCAGACUCCUACGGGAGGCAGCAGUGGGGAAUAUUGCACAAUGGGCGAAAGCCUGAUGCAGCAACGCCGCGUGAGGGACGACGGCCUUCGGGUUGUAAACCUCUUUUAGCAGGGAAGAAGCGAAAGUGACGGUACCUGCAGAAAAAGCGCCGGCUAACUACGUG